rnacentral:rRNA from 1 species
CCUACGGGAGGCAGCAGUGGGGGAUAUUGCACAAUGGGGGAAACCCUGAUGCAGCGACGCCGCGUGGGUGAAGAAGCGCCUCGGCGCGUAAAGCCCUGUCAGCAGGGAAGAAAAUGACGGUACCUGAAGAAGAAGCCCCGUCUAACUACGUGCCAGCAGCCGCGGUAAUACGUAGGGGGCAAGCGUUAUCCGGAUUUACUGGGUGUAAAGGGGGCGCAGACGGCGAUGCAAGCCAGGAGUGAAAGCCCGGGGCCCAACCCCGGGACUGCUCUUGGAACGUCGUGGCUAGAGUGCAGGAGGGGCAGGCGGAAUUCCUGGUGUAGCGGUGAAAUGCGUAGAUAUCAGGAGGAACACCGGUGGCGAAGGCGGCCUGCUGGACUGCAACUGACGUUGAGGCCCGAAAGCGUGGGGAGCAAACAGGAUUAGAUACCCCAGUAGUC